GAUCAUGGCUCAGGACGAACGCUGGCGGCGCGCCUAACACAUGCAAGUCGAACGAGAGAGAGGGAGCUUGCUUCCUCGAUCGAGUGGCGAACGGGUGAGUAACGCGUGAGGAACCUGCCUCAAAGAGGGGGACAACAGUUGGAAACGACUGCUAAUACCGCAUAAGCCCACGGCUCGGCAUCGAGCAGAGGGAAAAGGAGCAAUCCGCUUUGAGAUGGCCCCGCGUCCGAUUAG
rnacentral:rRNA from 1 species